AGUCAGUGUCAAUAGCUGUAACAAGGACCAAACACACACCAUUAAAUACACUCCUUCUCCCUCUAUGGCACAGUGAAAGCAAUUGACAUUAAUUCAUAUAUGGAUCCAUCCAUCCAUACAUACACAAGAAUCACGAGCCAGCCCUUUUUAUUUUGUCAAUUUCUUCAUCUCUAUCUAUAUAUCCAUCCAUCAUCAAGAUCUACCAUCAUGCUUCAUUCAUUCAUUCUUCACAAGUAUGUAUCUAUAUAUCUAUAUCUUAUGUUGCUUUGAGAGGUUGAAGCUGCCAGCAUGAUCUGUUAUAAGAUGUGGUUCGGUUCGAUCAGGUCAUCUUGCAGCUUCAAUCACUCAAUUAUCAACAGAUAAUUAACUUCCUCCAUUUCCAUCUGUUCAAUUUCACAGGUAAAUAAAUCUCUAAUCCUUAUCCUAUAAAUUUAUACAAUUUUAAUUAAUGAAAUUUUUUCAACUUUACAUGUGCAAAUACAUGUGCUUUAACUCUUGUCAUUAAUUAUAAAUUACUUUAUUCCAGCUACUCACAUUCACAAUCACAUGCACGUAUUUGUUUAUUACUAGUAAUAAUUAAUUUUUGUAUAUAAAUAUAUAUUAUAGAAGAAAGAACAGAAGAAGAAAUAUAUAUGGACAUUAAUGCAAGACAAAGUAUGAAUCCAUUUUUAUUUCUUCUUUUUUAAGUGGUACUGAUUAUUUGUCUGGUAAUCUCAACAACCUUUAUCUAACUUUUUUGGGAUGCAUUUAGCACGAGUACUGCACAGACAAAAUUUGAAACGGUUUCAUUUGUUACUUUCUUCCAUAGACAACUGUUUGUGGUGGUCCUAUCUUUUGUACUGUCGCAAUCUACUCAUCUUGUCUUAUGCACUAUUUCAUUUUUUUUAUAGUUAAAUGUGAAGUUUCUAUAAUAAUAUCUUUGAAUUUUGAAUAAUUGGCAUUGUAGUUUGGUUUAUCUUAACCUAGGUUUAGCUUUGGUUCGGUUCGGUUUGGUUCUACUUGAGUCUUGAACUAUUUAAUUGAUGAGAUGCUAGGGUCAUUUCAAUGUACGUUGAUGCUAACAAAAUCUUAUGUAAUUUGUGAACAUUUAUGAACCAAGACAGGUUUUAGAACCAACUCCAAAACAAGGUAUGAUUAUUAUUAUUUAUGAAAAGGGUCCCUCUUUUGUACUCACUUGGUUGCUGUCCCUGUCAACUAUGUGUGAAGCUUGUAAAGCAAGAGCCUUAGUGGUUUCAUGAUAUACCAUGGAACAUAAGAGAUUAUGGUUUAGAUUGUGUUGAUGUAUACUUACUUACUAGCUAAUCCAGUGGCAGAUGUAAUAGGUAAAAUAUAUUUAUCUAGUUUUGUAAGUAUAGUUCAAAUGGAUAAAAGACUAUUUGAGAUGUUGUGAUUAAAA